AAUAUCUUAUGGCUCAUGACUGCCAGAGUUUAAUCUCACUGAUAGUCAAGCUGAGGUAGCUAUACUCUAACAUAUCUAAUACUUUUCAUCUUUUGUGUUUAUGACAACUUUAUAAAUAGCAAAUUGUCCUGCCUAAUGUUUGCUGUUUGCCUUAGAGCCAAAAAGCUCAGACGCUAUCAGACAGCUACCAGACUUAACCGCCAGAUGGCAGCAAUGAUCUGUGUAGCACAUGCAGGGCCCGGUCCCAUCCCCACUGCAGGCAUAUCGCUCGAGGAUGAACUUUGUGGAUGUUUCCACUGCACCAGUGGAGAAACUGGAACAGGUCAGAAAGUACAAGUAAUUAGCCACAAAUGCAAUAAAUCAUCAUCAUUUUUGGAGAAGGAGUAUAAAGCCACUGGAGAAGAACAGAGUCAGUCAUGGUGAUGUGCGUAAUUUCAACAAUUUCAGCUCUCCAAGAAAACAGAAAAGGGCUGCUCUGCUCCUCCACGGCCUCCAUGGCACACUGCAGAGACAUCUGAAGAGAGAGCAGCUGGCUGGACGUCUCCCUCAGCAUAAAGCGUGUCACAAACUGCCCCAACACGGACGAGCC